rnacentral:rRNA from 1 species
GGGGAAUCUUGCGCAAUGGCCGAAAGGCUGACGCAGCGACGCCGCGUGGAGGAUGACGCCCUUCGGGGUGUAAACUCCUGUUGCCCGGGACGAAUGCCUGUUUCGACAGGAGUGACGGUACCGGGUGAGGAAGCACCGGCUAACUCUGUGCCAGCAGCCGCGGUAAUACAGAGGGUGCGAGCGUUGUCCGGAAUCACUGGGCGUAAAGGGCGCGUAGGCGGUCGGGUAAGCGUGUGGUGAAAGUCCGGGGCUCAACCCCGGAUCGGCCAUGCGAACGGUCCGACUGGAGCACGGUAGAGGCACAUGGAAUUCCGGGUGUAGCGGUGGAAUGCGUAGAGGUCCGGAAGAACACCGGUGGCGAAGGCGGUGUGCUGGGCCGUAGCUGACGCUGAGGCGCGACAGCGUGGGGAGCAAAC